AUGGGCCUAGGAGACGAAUACGAGAGCCUUCAUCAGUCCGAAAGGAGCCUUUUUUUCCUGGGCGUUGCACCAUUCGGCGGCGCAUUCCAAGACGGAGAUGAUUAUUCGGAGGUCAUUCUCAAAUACGUUAUGAGCAAUCUUGUUCCGGACGCAGUGCUAUACCGGUCCACUCGAACAGACUUCGAUGAGCAAUACGACUGUGUUUAUGCUGCACCAUCAAUGUGGUCUAGACUUGGAGACGGGGACACACAGAUGUCAUUUAUGUGCAACCUCACCCUGGAGCACAACUUCAC